AGCAAAUUCCUUGUUACACAGCCACGCCUGCGCCUUUGAUGUUUUAAAUUUUUUUCUGUUUUUCAAACGGUUGAAAGUAGGCAAUAUUUAAUGUGUACCGUUGCCAGGCAACAGUGAAAAUAUGGCGGUCACAAUACUGGUUGAUAAAGCGGUGUUGAGAUGUACGAGGAAUACAGAAUGCGAAGUUUGAUGAAAGACUAUACUGGAGAAAUUGAGAAUAUUAGAGAGAAAGAGUGAAAAAUAUUUAAUUCAAAUAAUCAUAUUAUAUUAAUCAGGUGGUUUGAUGAUAUUUUGAAACAUGGCACAAAAGAAGUUGAAAAGGAUAAUCAUGACAACAGAAGCCAUGCAUUUAUCAUGUGAUUUAGUUCAUGGAUCCAGUUUGUUGGUCACUGAAUCUUCAGGCAAUGAAUCAACUUGCUUUUAUGAGUCCUUCCCUGAGGAUCCACAAGAAAAUAGUAUUAAUGAGCUGAUUUUGUUCUUCAAAAGUAACAGGGAACUGUUUGAGCAAC
rnacentral:lncRNA from 1 species